rnacentral:lncRNA from 1 species
UCAGACAACACCAGCUCGCUACUGUCCUGGCAAGCGAUGUGAAGUACAAGAAAGAUGUUCAAACCAUGCACGAGCCAGUUUCAGAUCUCCCAAACUUGUUGUUCUUAGACCAUGCUCUGAAAGCCAGCAGAAUGCUCAGUGGAUGGGAAUAUAAAAAGAAUUUUGAAGAAAACAAAGGAUCGUAUCACUUUGAUGCAGAGGCCCCUGAACACCUACACCAUAGAGGCGUUAUUUCUCCUCCUAAGGUACAACAGUAUUGAAAUAACGAAGGAAGCCCGGCCUCCCAUGCACUGACUGCAGUCUCCCACAAUCCCUUCAAGGUUACCGAAAUCAUUAGCACUUAUGUAAAUCAGAGUGGUAUCAAUUGAAGCUACUUGAAUGAUUCCGGGCAGAAAAUGACAGGCAUCUUGACUGGCUUUCAUAAAACUAUGUUCUCACAUAUUCUCUGUUCAGGGUGUUGGCAUUCUGUGUCUUCUAUCUGUAUUUGUAAAGCCUUAUGAUGAAUUGAUUUCCUAUCAACACACUCGGUUUGCUUAAAUAAAUUCAGGAUGUAACAC